UUAAGGCGGGCGCACACUAGAGCUAUGUGCUUAGCAAAAUGUCAUUCGUGACUGUUGGCGUAAGGAGAUAGCUCUCGUGUGCGGGCGAUUUGCGAACGACUUUUGUCAUUCGUGCCACUUACGCCAAAUAUCUAACAUGUUUGAUAAUUUCUGCCUCGCGUGCCAAAAUCUUUCCGUGUGCGGCGAACGAAAGCUAUCUGCUUACGGAUUGUCGUAACAGCGCAUGCGUAGUAUACGAAAGUAAACAUCCAAGAUGGCGGCGCAAAAUGAAUUGCUGGCCGAGGCAAUUUUAGAGGACAAAGUUACUGGCUAUUUCUUUCACCGCACAUUCCCUUUUGUCCCUAUUUCUAAAAUCUGCAGAACUCACAUCGUAUAAACAUUUAUAUUUAGGCCAAAGUUCGACAAGUUUGUCCUCUAAAAUUGCCUCGGCCAGCAAUUCAUUUUGCGCCGCCAUCUUGGAUGUUUACUUUCGUAUACUACGCACGCGCUGUUACGACAAUCCGUAAGCAGAUAGCUUUCGUUCGCCGCACACGGAAAGA